rnacentral:rRNA from 1 species
UACAGAGGUGCCGAGCGUUAGGCGGAAUCACUGGGCUUAAAGCGUGUGUAGGCGGACUUCUAAGUACCUUGUGAAAUCCCACGGCUCACCCGUGGAACUGCUGGGUAUACUGGUCGUCUUGAGCCACAUAGGGGCGAGCGGAACAAAUGGUGGAGCGGUGAAAUGCGUAGAUAUCAUUUGGAACGCCAACGGUGAAAACAGCUCGCUGGGGGUGUGCUGACGCUGAGACACGAAAGCCAGGGUAGCGAACAGG